UACGGAGGGACUAGGCGUUGUUCGGAAUUACUGGGCGUAAAGCGCACGUAGGCGGAUUUGUAAGUCAGGGGUGAAAUCCCGGGGCUCAACCUCGGAACUGCCUUUGAUACUGCAAAUCUCGAGUCCGGAAGAGGUGAGUGGAAUUCCGAGUGUAGAGGUGAAAUUCGUAGAUAUUCGGAAGAACACCAGUGGCGAAGGCGGCUCACUGGACUGGUAUUGACGCUGAGGUGCGAAAGCGUGGGGAGCAACAGGG
rnacentral:rRNA from 1 species